UGCUGCAUCACGUUUGAUCUCC
rnacentral:miRNA from 1 species